UGGGCCCUUCUGUGCUAGUGAUCUAUCGUGAAGUUUUGAGCCAACACCGUUAAAAAGGGAGACCGGGGUCGCCACGGGGCGCAUAAGCCAUCUUCGGGUGGACAUGUAAACCGCGACGCAGGUCACCCACCUGCCGAGGGCAGGUUCAAAACUCAGGGACACGGCAUGGCAGGGCUCUU
rfam:Kyrpidia tusciae DSM 2912, complete genome.